rnacentral:lncRNA from 1 species
GCAACAUGGUUAUGGGUACUACAGUGGAUGUGAGUGUGUAGACCUUGUACAAUAGAGCUUAUAGGCUAAUGAGAAGACAGGAAGAAACAACAGGAACACAUAUAGCUGGAAUGCAGAUGGGAUCUGUGCUACUUACGCUAGCCAUGGGAUGAUUAGAACAAGAUAAGAGACAUGAGGAAGACUUCUUCAAGGAGGUGCUCAAGCCAUGUUUUGGAAAAGAGAACUCAAGAGUAGACUUUGAGUCUUUGCUUCAGAUGCAGAUCAAGAUGUGGCAACCUGUUGUGGAGAACUGGGUCCCUUGAGCCUGUGCUGUCUCUUUUUUUCUGGUGGCUUUGUCAUUUGGAACAAUGCAUAAUGGGCUGGAGGCUGAGAAACUCUGAGCUGAGGUGACACAAGGAUGACAGGAACAGUUAUCAGGGAAGCACACUGAUCGACUGAGCUGCCUGCUCCUGGCCUUCUGGAUCCUCCUCAGUUCCUGCUUAUCUCUAGGCCAGGCUCUCAACUCUGUCAAUUCUGGCAAGUAGAGCUGCAGCUGUCUGGCGCCACUGUAAUGCUGUCUCCUCCUCUGAGUGAGUUCAUCCUGGAAACAUUUUCUCCCAUAAGACAUGCACAGGUCUUACGUUUACAUGUUUCACUGAAAGAAAUUUGAUUCCACUGCUGGGAUGACAAGGAAGACUGAAGAAACCUAAUCCUAGGUGCUGCCACUGGGACAAACAAGAAGCACCAGACACAGUGCUGUUUUAGGGUGGGGCAGAAUUAUGCUGAGGGAAAAGUUAUUAUCACUCUUUAAGGCCAAGGAAACCACAAUUUUUAAAGAAGCUUCUAGAAAUUCUACCCAGUAGAAAAUAAAGAUAAACUUCUGUAAG